UCCAUUUUCCUUCCUAGGAGAAAAGAGCUGCUCUACCUUAAAAAUGGCCCCCUCUCUAAGUGGUGCCACAAAAAGGUGAGGCCACAAAGGCAAAACAAAUUCCAUGGAGAACGAGGCUGCUUGCAAUGUUAGCCCUGGACAUUAACCAGCACAACUUACACCAUGUGCGAGCUACUGGCUGCCCCCGGUGAACUGACUCAGGGUACAAAGAUAUGAAGACGAAUGCUUUCAUUUUGGAUUACUGUUUUCAAUGGGCACUGAGGACAACUGAAGUUCAGAGGGAGUUCACCUUGAAGAGCCUAAGGUCCAAGCACUCUGACCACGAUGAACACGCAAGAGAAUUUUAGCUUUUGCCCAAGGCUGCCAAAUUCUCACCAGAUGCCAGGAUGUAGGUAACAGGUAACAGCCCCCACUAUGUCUGGGAGUGACAGACUUAGUUGAGCACAUUUAUUUAUUAAUCAUUUUUAUUUUGAUUCUUGUUCUCCAGGGGAAGUGACAUCACCGGGAGGAAACCUGAUCAUUCAUUUCUGGAGCUUCCCCUUUUCACACUGUCUCUUAGUAUCUUUAGGGUUUUAAAUAUGCACGGCCAAGUAGGAGCUGUGCAGGUGGCAAGUAUUCAGGCUCAUGCCACCUAUUGGAAUAUGAAUGGUGUGUAAGUGUUCAACCGGAAGUUGUCACUCAUCACGUGAGAAACAAUCAACAAAAGGGACUUAAUUAUAUGCAGAAAAGGGCCGACACUUUGUCAGUUCAUGAUAUUAUGUGGUCGUUCUUUCCUUCAUCUCAACAGAGUAGAAAUCUUUAGUCGUGUUAGAGUCCCUUAAGACAAGCACACAUCCAUGCAUUUACCGAAAUAAAUAAGCAAACUGCAAUGAGGGAGAGACAGCGAAGCUGGGGUCUCUAUUCUAAGCUAGGGUCUGUAUACCGAAGCUAGUAUAUAUAUAUGUAAAUAUGUUUUUUAUUCUGACAGGAGUUUUAGAAAGACAAAAUUUAGAUCUGAUGAAUUCAAAGGUGCUCUGCCUGCAUGCAUGUUGGUGCACUACUUGCACAACUGGUGCCCACGGAGGCCGGAAGAACUGUAGAUGUGGACAGUGGUAGGCUGCGACGUGUGUCCCGGGAAUCCAACCACGGUUCUCUGUAAGAGCAGCCAAUGCUCAUAUCUGCUAAGCCAUUUCAACAGCCCUUUAUCUGUCUCUUAGACAUUAGGAAACUAGGUCUCUACAGUUGCCUGAGGAUUGGAGGUAACCAAUGGCAGAAACAGCCCUGAGACCACAAGCUAUGGGUUUUAUUCUGUGCAUGAAUUGAAGCAGUUAAACACUGAUCUCUGCCUUAAAGGACCCACUGUCCUGUCACCCAUCUGAGCAAGCCCUCCUUCUGUAGACUGGGUAUUAGUGGGACAGGAAAAGGCUCUACUGUGAACCUGGGACUGAUGCUGGGAGAAACAGGCAGCUUUGUGGCUCUGCCACCAACUCAUACUUAGCCUUGUGGUUCUCCUCAAACCCCAUGCUAAAGCACAUGCUAAAAAUAAACAAGGACAUUUGUGAACAGGUACUCAGAACUAAAAUGAAGGAACCGCCACUUGGGAGAUGAUUAAGUUGUAGAGGAAAAGAAAACAAAAGCUUACACAAAGAACGGGAACAAAAACAGAAAGGGGAUGAGAAGAGAGAGGUUUUCCCUUAUAGAAUGCAGACAGACAAGCUGUUUACUCACAGGUAACAAAAUCAGGGUCAAAGUGAGGACAUCAGAAACACUGAGGCAGCCCCAUAAAAGGCAGCUGGUCCUGGUGAUAUUUCUCAACAUGUCUAUCAGUUUACAUAUGCAAAAAAAGCUGGCGGUGGGCUAACACAACAGAGGGGGCGGGGAGACUCCACAGUGACUAAUAAAAAACUACAUAGGAUCUUCUCAGGUCUACAAUUUGAAAAUGUCACUAGACUACGCAGAAUCAUGCAGCUAAGAUGACUAUCAUUUAAAAGUUCAAGCAGGGCUCUGGCUUAUUAUCCAGCCUGAAAAUAAGCAGAGUUUGUGAAGUCUUGAAAGCAGUGUUCGGGCAAGUGAAGAGCAACCUGUGCUAUCAGGAUAAGGGAAGUGUGCUCAUAUGUGCUAUGUCUAUAUGCGUGCGUGCGUGCGUGCGUGCGUGCGUGUGUGUGUGUGUGUGUAAUGGGCUCCUUGGGAGACAACUGUCCUGUGUACAGACUGGUUGGGGAUUCACUCUGGCAACAUUCCAGGGCCAAGGUCAAGGCCCCUGCCAGCCUAAAUGCUGACCUUUACAAAGCAUGUACUGAAAGAGAUUCCAAGCACAAACAUGGCCCUGGAGACCACAAAAAGAGAUAAUGCAUGCUUGGCAGACAGUCAAGUGUACUGGAAGAUCAGUAGGGGAGGCCGGCCCAGGUGAAUGGGAAGGCUGUGGGAAGGGCUGACCAUGAUAUGUCCUAGGGCUUGUGGGGGUUGUUGUAAGAUGCAGGCAUGGGUAGAGGGAAUGCAGAAACAAGAACACAGAGAUGCUUGAGAUAGACUGGGUGGGAUCCAAAGACAGAGAAGAUCUCCCCAAGAUUCCAGUCUGCCUACAAUUUGACAAUUCUUUACCAAAGCAUGCAGCAAGAAACUCAAGGCUGAAAAGCAAUGCGAUUUAAGGACAUGUUCCCUACAAGGGAGCUCUUGAAGGAAGUGGAACAGGAAAGAUAGCAUGGUGAGAAUCAAAACUGACCUCCACUUCUGGCCUUAGAGACCGGAGAUAACUUUUGAGAUCGCCACGUGUCAUUAGUUCCAUGAUGACCAGGGUAGGCUGGCCUUGGGACACCACGCCCAGUAACCGGACCUGAAGGAUUCAAGAAGAGAAGGACUCAGAGGCAGAGGGCAUGCCACAUGAUGCUCUAUACCCCUUGAAACUGUGGUGCUGGGACCUGUGGCCAGGAGCAGAAUUCUGGUGAGAGGAAGAAGAAAGAAGAAGAAAGAAGAAGGAGGAGGAAGUUGCAAGGAGGAAGAAAGAGAAGAAGGAGGAGGAGGAUAACGACUAUUUCUCUGGUCCCUAUUUUUCUCUUUUACAAAAGCAAUUAUUGACCUGGACAGCAUGGCUGCAUGGUUCUGGCUGCUUAGGAGACUGAGGUAGAGUGUGAGGAUCACUUUAGCAGUUAUAUAUACGCUAGCCUGUAUAAUAUAGUAGGGCUUUACAGUAAGGCUCUGCCUCAAAAAAAAAAAAAAAAAAAAAAAAGUUCUUUGUAUAAAUAAGGCACAUUUACUUUCCUGAUUUAGCUUGUUUGCUUUCUUGUUUGUUUUUGGUGGUGUGGGGGCAGAGCCCAGGUUCUGGAACACUUUAGGCAAAUGUUCUAUCACUAAGCUACAUAUCCAAACCUGUUCUGUUCGUUUUAAAGGAGAAAGAUCUUCUCCAUAAGUAGCUAUGCUUCUAAGCGGGGUGCGCCCCCUUUGAGAGUGCCUUUUAUGCUUUACAGGCGCAAACACAUGCAUGCAUGGCUCUUUAAAAAAUAACUCUGCGAGACCUUUUGUAAAGCGAAAUAACAUCAUUAUU